rnacentral:rRNA from 1 species
AUUGAACGCUGGCGGCAUGCCUUACACAUGCAAGUCGAACGGCAGCACGGGUGCUUGCACCUGGUGGCGAGUGGCGAACGGGUGAGUAAUACAUCGGAACAUGUCCUGUAGUGGGGGAUAGCCCGGCGAAAGCCGGAUUAAUACCGCAUACGAUCUACGGAUGAAAGCGGGGGACUUUCGGGCCUCGCGCUAUAGGGUUGGCCGAUGGCUGAUUAGCUAGUUGGUGGGGUAAAGGCCUACCAAGGCGACGAUCAGUAGCUGGUCUGAGAGGACGACCAGCCACACUGGGACUGAGACACGGCCCAGACUCCUACGGGAGGCAGCAGUGGGGAAUUUUGGACAAUGGGCGAAAGCCUGAUCCAGCAAUGCCGCGUGUGUGAAGAAGGCCUUCGGGUUGUAAAGCACUUUUGUCCGGAAAGAAAUCCUUGGCCCUAAUACGGUCGGGGGAUGACGGUACCGGAAGAAUAAGCACCGGCUAACUACGUG